UAGCACCUAAACGGCGAAACUGCGAAUGGCUCAUUAAAUCAGUUAUCGUAUAUUUGAUAGUACCUACUACAUGGAUAACCGUGGUAAUUCUAGAGCUAAUACAUGCUUAAAAUCCCGACUUCGGAAGGGAUGUAUUUAUUAGAUUAAAAACCAAUGCCCUUCGGGGCUCACUGGUGAUUCAUAAUAACUUCUCGAAUCGCAUGGCCUUGUGCCGGCGAUGGUUCAUUCAAAUUUCUGCCCUAUCAACUUUCGACGGCUGGGUCUUGGCCAGCCGUGGUUACAACGGGUAACGGAGGGUUAGGGCUUGACCCCGGAGAAGGAGCCUGAGAAACGGCUACUACAUCCAAGGAAGGCAGCAGGCGCGCAAAUUACCCAAUCCCGACACGGGGAGGUAGUGACAAUAAAUACUGAUACAGGGCUCUUUUGGGUCUUGUAAUUGGAAUGAGUACAAUUUAAAUCCCUUAACGAGGAACAAUUGGAGGGCAAGUCUGGUGCCAGCAGCCGCGGUAAUUCCAGCUCCAAUAGCGUAUAUUAAAGUUGUUGCAGUUAAAAAGCUCGUAGUUGAACCUUGGGCCUGGCUGGCCGGUCUGCCUCACCGCAUGCACUGGUCCGGCCGGGCCUUUCCCUCUGGGGAUCCGCAUGCCCUUCACUGGGUGUGUCGGGGAACCAGGACUUUUACUGUGAAAAAAUUAGAGUGUUCAAAGCAGGCCUAUGCUCGAAUACAUUAGCAUGGAAUAAUAGAAUAGGACGUUGCGGUUCUAUUUUGUUGGUUUCUAGGACCGCCGUAAUGAUUAAUAGGGACAGUCGGGGGCGUCAGUAUUCAAUCGUCAGAGGUGAAAUUCUUGGAUCGAUUGAAGACUAACUACUGCGAAAGCAUUCGCCAAGGAUGUUUUCAUUAAUCAGGAACGAAAGUUAGGGGAUCGAAAACGAUCAGAUACCGUUGUAGUCUUAACCAUAAACUAUGCCGACUAGGGAUCGGGCGAUGUUAUUUCUUGACUCGCUCGGCACCUUACACGAAAGUAAAGUUUUGGGU
rnacentral:rRNA from 1 species